GACUAUAAGUUUUUUGUUCUGCUCAGGACGAACGCUGGCGGCGUGCUAAUACAUGCAAGUCGAACGAACUCUGGUAUUGAUUGGUGCUUGCAUCAUGAUUUACAUUUGAGUGAGUGGCGAACUGGUGAGUAACACGUGGGAAACCUGCCCAGAAGCGGGGGAUAACACCUGGAAACAGAUGCUAAUACCGCAUAACAACUUGGACCGCAUGGUCCGAGUUUGAAAGAUGGCUUCGGCUAUCACUUUUGGAUGGUCCCGCGGCGUAUUAGCUAGAUGGUGAGGUAACGGCUCACCAUGGCAAUGAUACGUAGCCGACCUGAGAGGGUAAUCGGCCACAUUGGGACUGAGACACGGCCCAAACUCCUACGGGAGGCAGCAGUAGGGAAUCUUCCACAAUGGACGAAAGUCUGAUGGAGCAACGCCGCGUGAGUGAAGAAGGGUUUCGGCUCGUAAAACUCUGUUGUUAAAGAAGAACAUAUCUGAGAGUAACUGUUCAGGUAUUGACGGUAUUUAACCAGAAAGCCACGGCUAACUACGUGCCAGCAGCCGCGGUAAUACGUAGGUGGCAAGCGUUGUCCGGAUUUAUUGGGCGUAAAGCGAGCGCAGGCGGUUUUUUAAGUCUGAUGUGAAAGCCUUCGGCUCAACCGAAGAAGUGCAUCGGAAACUGGGAAACUUGAGUGCAGAAGAGGACAGUGGAACUCCAUGUGUAGCGGUGAAAUGCGUAGAUAUAUGGAAGAACACCAGUGGCGAAGGCGGCUGUCUGGUCUGUAACUGACGCUGAGGCUCGAAAGUAUGGGUAGCAAACAGGAUUAGAUACCCUGGUAGUCCAUACCGUAAACGAUGAAUGCUAAGUGUUGGAGGGUUUCCGCCCUUCAGUGCUGCAGCUAACGCAUAAGCAU
rnacentral:rRNA from 2 species